rnacentral:rRNA from 1 species
UACGUAGGGGGCAAGCGUUGUCCGGAAUCAUUGGGCGUAAAGCGCGCGUAGGCGGCCAGACAAGUCCGGUGUGAAAGUCACAGGCUCAACCUGUGAAUGCCGCUGGAAACUGUCUGGCUAGAGUCCGGAAGAGGAGAGUGGAAUUCCUGGUGUAGCGGUGAAAUGCGCAGAUAUCAGGAAGAACACCAAUGGCGAAAGCAGCUCUCUGGGACGGUACUGACGCUGAGACGCGAAAGCGUGGGGAGCGAACAGG